rnacentral:tRNA from 14 species
GAGGGGUGGCUGAGCGGUCGAAAACGGCAGAUUGCAAAAUUGUUAUAUGGCUUUUUUCCAUAUCGAGCAUUCGAAUCCCUCCUCCU